rnacentral:lncRNA from 1 species
AGAAGGGUUUCACUUCCGCCUGGCUGCAGGAACCACAAGUUCCCAGUCUAGGUCGUAAUUGGAAUAAUCACAGUCAAAAUACACCCAGAUGCUCUCACACACCCAGACGCGCGCGCAUCCCUGAGCCACGGGGCGCACGUGAGCCCGCACCCCGCGCACCCAGCCCUGCCUCUCGCCAGAGCAUCCUCAGCAGCUGCCACCAACGCAGACGCAGCCUCCUUCUCCUCUUCCUCCUCCUCCUACCUCCGCCGCCGCCGCCACCACUGCCGCUGCGGCUGUGAUCUAUCCCCUCUCGUCCUCCUUGCUCCCCCAGUUCCUGCUCUUCCUCCCAUCCCCUGCUUCUGCCCAGCGGCGAAGGGCAAAACCCUCGGCUGUGGGUCUUCUUCUCUCUGACCAAGAAGAGGCUGGAACAGGUUUCCCCCAAGAAAGAGCAGCUGAGUUCUUGCGUCUUGUGGCAGCUGGUGUGUCCAGCACUGAGUCCGUAGGAGCUGAAGUCAGCCUGGGCCCUUCUCAUGGGCAGUGCCACCUGUGCUGAAGUCCGCAGCAGUGGCAUUGUGAGGUGAGUAAUGAAGUCCACUGCAGGGAGUUAGGGAUCUCCAAAUACAUACAAAUGCUGCCUUUCCACCAGAUCUCCCAAUAUCAAAGACUGCCUGGACCUCAUGAGCUAGGCCUCAGGGCAUGACCCCUACAUUCUGGGGAAUUUUGCCUAGUACAGCUGCCUUUGGUCUCUUGCUUCCCACCCCACCUGUAAUAUGGGAAUGACAGCCUUGACCUACAUUUUGGGGUGAGGAGGAGAAAUAACGUAACAAUCAUUGCCAAGUCCUUUGCAGAUGUCAAGCAGCAUCUACGAGCUUCAGUGUAACACAGACAUGCUUCCCAUCAAGCUGUCAUUUUCUUUUCCCUUCUUUCCUGGUGCCUGGGUGGCUUUUUAGCCACAUGCUGCAAAUUUGCCAAUUAGUUCCUGUGAUUUCUACUGCCCAAUAACCUUAAUUUUGCCUUCCUAUUUGAAGUGUACCACCACCCCUUCCAUCCCUGCUUCUAGGCCUGUCAGGCUUGGCUUAAAUCUUCCUGAACCUUCUCUGCUUUCCCACAAAACCAGGAUAUACUGCCUCCAGCAGGUCCCAACAACACUUGAGUCUGUAGCAUGCAGUGUAGCACUUGCUGCCCUUCUACUUUAAGUAAUUCUUGGAUGGUUUCUGGAGUAUUCGUCUUACCAGGAAAACUAGACUGUAAGCUCUUUAAGGGCAGGGACUAGAUCUUAUAGAUCUCUAGUCUCCCUUAAAAGGGCUCAGCAGUUCCCCAGCAGCUUUGCAAGUUGGGCCUCUCUCUCUUCCUCUGCACUUCUUUCAGGUUUCAUGGCCUGCCUCUCCGAUCAUUUCUCUGUAUCUUUGUCUGCCUUUCAGGCAGGCAUCAUAAUUUCUUCUGUCAGCUUCUCCAUCUGGUGUUCUGUUGUUAUUCCCUGCAGUCCGGCUACCUGCUUGUAGCUUGCUGUCCCUUCAUCUGGUCUUCUAUCUGUCAGCUGCUUAGGCAUCUCUCCUACUACCCAAAUCAAAAAACCACCAACCAAAUGUUUUAAUAAACCAACCAGAAAAACGAACUAAACAAAAUCAAGCAAGGAAUAAGCAAUGUAGUUCCCUUUCACACUGAGCAUACAUUGGACCUACAGACAAGGUAAAACUCCAGCUCAGUGGCAGGUGUUUCUCUGAUGCCUUCUUAUGAAAGAGAAGCUCCAGAGUUUCAGCCUUGGAAUUGAAGGUAUGAAAUUACAGCCUUGUUGAUACUGAUGCAUUCAACUUUCUAGUGAUGUUCUGGUAGGGGAUCCUCUAUAGACCUUGAUGGACAGAAGGUAACUAGGACUGACUAAAAUGAGAAGCCCCUGGAUCACUCUUUGGUGUUCUGUGACAGAUGCAAUAAUAACUUGUAUUUCUUGUCUAAUGUUGCCAGCUCUGUGCUAGGCACAUACCAAUUUGCUCCUAUGGUAAUCUUGCAAGGUGGGCAUUCUUUUUUCUAGUAGUUAUUGCUGUUUCUGACUAUACAAGUGAUACUAGCUCAAGUUAGAUAGUAUCAUCAUCAUUGUUUUACCAAGGAGGAGAUAGAGGCUGAGAGAAGCUAAGGAACUUACCUGUAACUGGAGACAAGCUGUGGCUUUGGGAAGAAAGAGACUUUCUGGAGAGAGUUUCCCAGCAUCUCAUACAAAGUUAUUUUGGUAUCUUUAGUUCACGUGCACACACAUACAUACUCUCAUAAGCACAUCCAUGUACUCUUGUACAUUCACACAGCCACAUUAUCCCCUGGGCUCACUCACUUUUCAUACUGGGGUCAUUCAAAGUGAUGAUUACUCUUACCCCUCACUCUCACAGACAAUCACAUUUACAUACAUGCUACAUUCAGGUACAUUCACACUGCCACUAACCAGCAUACACAUAUUCACAUUUUCAUAUUGAUGCACACAAUACACUUACCAUAUACCCGACCUUCAUGUUUAUAGCCACUCACACCUUUGUGCUAUUAAUAUUACAGUCUCACACACAGUCAUACACUUUCACACUUAAUCACAUUCACACAGAGGAUACAAUCACCUUGCCUGCUCAAAUUCCUAUGUAGUCAUACACACUCUGUACACAAAUAAUACAUUGACUUCCCCCUGCGCACACUC